rnacentral:rRNA from 1 species
CAGCCGCCGCGGUAAUUCGAAGGGUGCAAGCGUUAAUCGGAAUUACUGGGCGUAAAGCGUGCGUAGGCGGUUUGUUAAGUCUGUUGUGAAAUCCCCGGGCUCAACCUGGGAAUGGCAAUGGAUACUGGCAAGCUAGAGUGUGUCAGAGGAUGGUGGAAUUCCCGGUGUAGCGGUGAAAUGCGUAGAGAUCGGGAGGAACAUCAGUGGCGAAGGCGGCCAUCUGGGACAACACUGACGCUGAGGCACGAAAGCGUGGGGAGCAAACAGGAUUAGAUACCCCAGUAGUCCCUGUCUCUUAUAC